UCAGGGGGCGGGGCAGCCGCGUCAGGGUUCAUCCCUGCCGAGGAAAGUCCGGGCUCCACGAAACGAGGGUGGCGGGUAACGCCCGCCGGGGGGAAGGCUUUUGGCCGACCUUCAAGGGAAAGUGCCACAGAGAGCAAACCGCCGAACGGGUGCAAACCCCAAGGCAAGGGUGAAAGGGUGCGGUAAGAGCGCACCGCGAUUCUGGCGACAGCAUCGGCAUGGCAAACCCCACCCGGAGCAAGACCGAAUAGGGGCAACGCGUCCAUCAGGACAGGCGGGUUUCGCGCCAGUUGCCCGGGUUGGUUGCUGGAGCGCACUGGUAACAGGGCGCCGAGAGGAAUGGCUGCCGCUGGCCGCCGCGUCGAUAGAUACGAGCGGCCUUCACAGAACCCGGCUUACAGGCCCCCUGACAUU
rfam:Novosphingobium sp. SCN 63-17 ABT10_C0027, whole genome shotgun sequence.